CCACGGCACGAGGAGCCCGCACAGCGAUGUCAAUCGGUGGCUCCGGCAGCUGAAUCGCAGCGAUGUGACUCGCAACCUGUGUAGCCUGUGUUGAUCUGGAAACUAAAUAAUGCCUAGGUAAUUGUUGUUGUAAUGGCAGGUGAAUCACAGCGAUGUUGAUUGCAGGCGCAGGUAGUGGGUUUCCUGUUAGCUCCUCUCCUGUCUUCUGUUCUCUUGUUCUGGAACUCUGUAUUUCCGUUAAAAAAUUAAUGGAAAGUGGUUAAUGCUCGGUUCAAAAAAUGAAUUGUAAUUUAAAAACAUACCUUCGGAUGGUUGAAGAUAAAAGUUCCUGGAUUUACACCUGAAGAGAAACAGAAAAAUCUACUCCUUUUGUUUCAGUGAUGAACUCCGCGUUUUUUUAACUUGUAAAUCCUGCCAUGGCCCAUUGCAACGCAGCUGAAUGUACGAACUUGCAAAAAAAGAAGCCGUUCUCCCCGGAUCCCUAGGCCAGCCUAGCUCUUUUCCGGUUUUAGGAGAGUUUUUUCUUUCUUUCGGGUUUUAAUGUUUUUUUUCGCUUUCGUUCUUUCCGUUCUUUUUGCAUUUUCGAUUUUUCGAUUUUUCUUCCUUUUUUCCAUUUUUAUUUUAAAAUUCAUGAACAUCUUGUGAAAUGCAGUAACAUUUUUCAAAUCGAUCAGUGACCAUUAUUUUGAAAUUCAAACAAUUUUUUCUAAAUUGUGAAAACAAAUUAAAUUCGUGCAUAUUUUUUCAAAUCAUGAACAUUAUUGAAAUUAUGGAAACAUUUUCGGAAAUUUAGAAGCUUUUCUAAAAGAGGAAAAUACUGGAGGUCCAAACAAAGAGUAUCUGAAGUGUCAAGUACUCCCUCCGUUAGGAAAUACUUGCCUUUAAAAUGAUUGUAUCUAGACUUACUUUAAUUAUAGAUACAUUCAUUUACAAUCAUUUUGAAGAUAAGUAUUUCCGGACGGAGGGAGUAGGUUCUAAAAAUUUAGAAUCAUAAACCACGGGUUUAAAAUGUGUGUAAGUGCGGGUCCUAAAGGUAUUCCAAGUUCAUGUGGGUCGUAAAAGUAGUGUGUCAAUUAGGCUCUAAAAGUCAUGGGUAAAUACAAUGAUUUUACAUUUGCACGAUCUACUUGACAUACUUGCAAUAUUUUUAGGACCUCCAGUGUAAUUUACUUUGUUCAAAAUUUAUGAACAAAAUUUGAGUUCGCAAAAAAAUUGAAUCAAUGGAACUUUUUGUUCAAAAAUAAAUUUUCCGAGAUCACAAAAAAUGCAGUUCGGGAAUAUUUUUUAUGAAUUCAUGGACAUUUUUCAAAAUUGGCAAAUAUUUUUUCAAGCUUGGGAACAAUUUAUUGAAAUUUACAAACAUUUUUAAUUAGCAAUUAUUAAUUGAAAUUUGAAAUAUUUUUGAGUUCACCAUUUCUUUUCUGAAUUUAGAAAGAAAUUUAUACAAAGUAUACCAAAAUGUAAAAAACAAACUGAAAACCCAUUCUUCCAAAAAAGGCAAAAAAUACAAUAAAAAAACAUCAGGCAAGCUCUGUGAUGCUUGCUGCCCUAGUUAGGCCCACCCAAUUCAAGAAGAGGGUGUGCGUUUUCCCGCUAGAGCAACUAACUAACGGGUAUCUUUUGUGGGAGCCCCUCAAAAAUCACUUUGGAUGGACUGAUAGCGCGUCACAUAACAGUCUUUAAGCUGUUGUCAUGUGUCGUCUGCUGGACGUUCUCUCGGGAUUUUUAUUUAUUUUUCUAUAUGUGUUUUCGGAUUUUAGACGGUUUUUCCAUAUUUUCAAUUUUUGGUUGAUUUUCCUAGGUUUUAGACAAAAAAUAUUUAAAAGAAAAAAAUUAUGAUUUUUUCCAUUGUGCCUUUUGGAAAAAAGAAAAAAAAAUCUCUUGCAAGAGGCACAUAAUUGCUUCUUGUGAAGGCACGAAUUUGCUUCCGCGGUAGACAUAACUGUGCCUCAGAAAAUAAAAAAAUACAUUUUUUUCGCGAGAGGCCAAGAUUUGCUUUGCAUAGAGGCACGAAUUUGUUUUCGCGAGAGGCUCUCGAAACCGGGGAAAAGGUGGAAAAAACUUGGCUUUUUUCUUUUGAUUUUUUCUAAAAAAAAUAGUGAUUUUUUUAGUUGAAACCUAUUAACAUUGAAUCUAGUUUCGGACAUCUCAACGCCAGAAAUCCAACAGUGAAAACAGUUUAUGACUUGAUCGCACGAUUUAAGAGAUAAAAUAUUAAAAAGAACGAAUCUAUGUAAAAUGAGAAACUUUUCAGGUUUAUCACAAUCUAAGAAAGUAGGAGUGAUCUUUGCAAGAGAUGUCCUUUAAAUUAGUGAUUUCACGCCGCGUACGUCGAGGAGGAAUAGGAGGUCCUGUUCCCAAUCCCGUGAUUGUUGGAAUACUUCAUCUAUUUUAGAGCAUGAUUUAUUCAAUGCCAAAAGUUGGUCCACCCUAUUAAUCGCUUAAGGCGCUACUCAUAGUUUUAAGUGCGCAAAUGUUAUAUCUUGAUUUUAGCAAGUGUUCGUUUAGUCUCGUGUGAAGCAUUUUCGCACCGCUACACUGCUGGGGCGGUCUGUUUUUCGUCUGUUACUCCUUUUGCUGUUUCCGAUCAAGAAGAACGCUUCUGAUAGUUGACGUACUAAUUUCUUUCAUUUUUAUUUUUAUUGUUCUUUCAAUUUUUUCUAUUUCUUCAACGGUUUUCUUCAUUCUUACAUUUUUCGUUGUUCCUUUCACAGCUUUCAGUAGUUUUUCAUUUUUCUUUUCAACUUUCUUUGUUUCUUUCUCAGUUUUCUUGUUUUUCUUUGCUUUUCUUUAGUUUUCACUUUACUUUCUUCUUUUUUACUUUAUUUUUCUCUCGGAUUUUUAAUGCUUGGUCAACGUUUUUAUAGAUAUUUUUAAAAUUCUUGAUUUACAUUUUCUAAUACAUGAUUAAUAUUUUUUAAUGCAUGGUCAACAUUUUUUCAUGGCAUUUAAUAUUUUUAAAUGCUUGAUUAAUUCUUUUAUUAAAUGCAAGAUUAACUAUUUGUUAAUACAUGAUCAACAUUUUUCCUAUCUAUAUUUAACAUUUUCCUAAUGUUGAUUAACAUUUUUCUAAUGUAUCAUCAACAUUUUUCUAAAUGCAUUAAAUACUUUUUUAAAAUUCUUGAUUAACAUUUUUCGAAUACAUGUUAAACAAUUUCUUAAUACAUGAUCAAAAUAUUUUCUAUACACAUUUAACAUUUUUCAAUGCUUGGUUUUGUUCAUAUGCUUCAUUAACAUUUUUUAAAUACAUGAUAACCUUUUGCCAUACACAUUGUAUAUUUUUUGUAUACAUUUUUCGUAUACAUGAGAAAUAUAUUUUUUCUUUAUACACAUUUGACAUUUUUCAAAUGUUUGAUUGACAUUUUUAAAUCUUUUAUGGAAAUUUUUAUUUUUGUAAUAUAUUUACUUAAAAUAUUUGGUAAUAUGAGGCCUCACGCGCUCCUAGGCUAGGCCAUUUAGGAAGGCACCUUACGCGAGAGUGUGCUAGAUCAGGCUAUAAGCGAGAUAUAGCGCUGCCCCUUUAACUGUACGUGCCAAUGGGCCGGUCCAUCCAAGGCAAUUGUGGUGACACAUUCGUCCUGUUUUUUGGAAGGGAAGCUUUUAGAAGCUUCAUGUCUACCUUUUCCAUUUUUCGUUCUGGUUUUUUGGAUAUUAGUUUUUGUUUUGUUUGGUUUGGUUUUUUGCUUUUCUUCUUUUGUUUUUCUUAUUCCUUUUUCUCGUUCUUUCAAAUGCACGACUUUUUACUUCAUUUUUAUAAAAUUCAUGAAGUUUUUCUCAAAUUAUAAGAACUUUAAAAAUUUGUGAACUUUUUCAAAUUCACAUUUUUAAUAGUUUUGUGGACGUUUUUCAAAUUAAAAAACCUUGUCAAACUCAUGAGCCUUUUUCAAAUUUUAUGAACUUUUUAAAAAUUCACAAAGUUCUCUAAAAUUCAUGAACUUUUUAAAAUUAAUGAUUAUUGGAAAAAUUCAAAUUCAUGAAGUCUAAAAAAAUGAACUUCUUAAAAAUUGGUGUUUUUUUAUUUCAUGAUUUUCAACCGAUCGACUCAUUAAUCAAUUCAACUGGUCAACCAGCUAACCAGCUUGACUGGCUAACAAGCUAGUCCCGAACGAUGCAUUUUUAUUAGGAACCUCGUGAGCGAUGCGUGAUAGCCAAAUGCGUUGAGGAACGCAGUAUUUCAAAAAAAAAUUGCCUACGACCACGAAAGAUCUAUCUAAAAGAUGCAUAGCAAUGAGAGGGGAGAGUGUGUCAAUGUACCCUCGUAGACCGAAAGCGGAAGCGUUUAGUAACGCGGUUGAUGUAGUCGGACGUCUUCGCGAUCCAACCGAUCCAAGUACCAAACGUACGACACCUCCGCGAUCAGCGCACGUUCAACUCGGUGACGUCCCUCGAACUCUUGAUCCAGUUGAGGCCGAGGGAGAGUUCCAUCAGCACGACGGCGUGGCGAUGGUGAUGCUGAAGUUACCGGUGCAAGGCUUCGCCUAAGCACUACAACAAUAUGACCGAGGUGUGUCACUGUGGAGGGCGGUACCGCACACGGCUAAAAGAUCAACUUGUGUGUCUUUGGGGUGCCCCCUCCCCACGUAUAUAAAGGGGGAGGAGAGGAGGCCGACCAUAGGUGUGGCGCGCCAAGGGGGGAGUCCUACUUGGACCCCCGGUCCAAGUAGGAUUCGACACCCCUAUUCCUAUUCCCGCAAGGAGAAGGGGGGAAAGAGGAGGAGGAGAGAAGGAAAGGCUCCCCAACCCUAACCCAAUUCGGAUUGGCCUUGGGGGGCACGCGCCUCCACCUGACCGCACCCUCCUCUCUUUCACCAGGGCCUAUGUAGGCCCAUUAACCCCCCGAGGGGUUUCGGUAACCCCCCGGUACUCCAGAAAAUGCCCGAACCUAUCCGAAACCAUUCCGGUGUCCAAACAUAACCUUCCAAUAUAUCAAUCUUUAUGUCUCGACCAUUUAGAGACUCCUCGUCAUGUCCGUGAUCUCAUCCGGGACUCCGAACAAACUUCGGUUCAUCAAAACACGAAACUCAUAAUACAAAUCAUCAUCGAACGUUAAGCGUGCGGACCCUACGGGUUCGAGAACUAUGUAGACAUGACCGAGACACAUCUCUGGUCAAUAACCAAUAGCGGAACCUAGAUGCUCAUAUUGGCUCCUACAUAUUCUAUGAAGAUCUUUAUCGGUCAAACCGCAUAACAACAUACGUUGUUCCCUUUGUCAUCGGCAUGUUACUUGGCCGAGAUUCAAUCGUCGGUAUCAUCAUACCUAGUUCAAUCUCAUUACCAGCGUGCCUCUUUACUCAUUUCAUAAUGCAUCAUGCCGUAACUAACUCAUUAGUCACAUUGCUUGCAAGGCUCAUAGUGAUGUGCAUUACCGAGAGGGCCCAGGGAUACCUCUCCGAUACACGGAGUGACAAAUCCUAAUCUCGAUCUAUGCCAACUCAACAAACACCGUCGAAGACACCUGUGGAGCAUCUUUAUAAUCACCCAAUUACGUUGUGACAUUUGAUAGCACACAAGGUUCCGGUAUUUGGGAGUUGCAUAAUCUCAUAGUCUGAGGAACAUGUAUAAGUCAUGAAGAAAGCAAUAGCAGAAAAACUAAACGAUCAUUAUGCUAAGCUAACGGAUGGGUCUUGUCCAUCACAUCAUUCUCUAAUGACGUGAUCCCGUUCAUCAAAUGACAACACAUGUCUAUGGCUAGGAAACUUAACCAUCUUUGAUUAACGAGCUAGUCAAGUAGAGGAAUACUAAGGACACUCUGUUUGUCUAUGUAUUCACACAUGUACUAAGUUUCCGGUUAAUAAAAUUCUACCAUGAAUAAUAAACAUUUAUCAUAAUAUAAGGAAAUAUAAAUAAAAACUUUAUUAUUGCCUCUAGGGCAUAUUUUCUUCAGUCUCCCACUUGCACUAGAGUCAAUAAUCUAGAUUACAUAGUAAUGGGUCUAACAUCCAUGGAGUCUUGGUGCUGAUCAUGUUUUGCCCGUGAGAGAGGCUUAGUCAACGGGUCUGCAACAUUCAGAUCCAUAUGUAUCUUGCAAAUCUCUAUGUCUCCCUCCUUGACUUGAUCGCGGAUGGAAUUGAAGCGUCUCCUGAUGUGCUUGGUUCUCUUGUGAAAUCUGGAUUCCUUUGCCUAGGCAAUUGCACUAGUAUUGUCACAAAAUAUUUUUAUUGGACCCGAUGCACUAGGUAUGACACCUAGAUCGGAUAUGAACUCCUUCAUUUGCUGCUUCCGAAGCAGCUAUGUACUCCGCUUCACACGUAGAUCCUGCCACGACGCUCUGCUUCGAACUGCACCAACUGAUAGCUCCACCAUUCAAUAUAAAUACAUAUCCGGUUUGCGACUUAGAGUCAUCCAGAUCAGUGUCAAAGCUUGCAUCGACAUAACCAUUUACGAUGAGCUCUUUGUCACCUCCAUAAACAAGAAACAUAUCCUUAGUCCUUUUCAGGUAUUUCAGGAUGUUCUUGACCGCUGUCCAGUGAUCCACUCCUGGAUUACUUUGGUACCUCCCUGUUAAGCUAAUAGCAAAGGCACACAUCAGGUCUGGUACACAGCAUUGCAUACAUGAUAGAACCUAUGGCUGAAGCAUAGGUAUUGACUUUUAUUUUUCUCUCUAUCUUCUGCAGUGGUCGGGCAUUGAGUCUGACUCAACUUCACACCCUGUAACACAGGCAAGAACCCUUUCUUUGCUUUGAUCCAUUUUGAACUUCUUCAAAACUUUAUCAAGGUAUGUGCUUUGUGAAAGUCCAAUUAAGCGUCUUGAUCUAUCUCUAAAGAUUUUGAUGCCCAAUAUAUAAGCAGCUUCACCGAGGUCUUUCAUUGAAAAAUUCUUAUUCAAGUAUCCUUUUAUGCUAUUCAGAAAUUCAGUAUCAAUUCCGAUCAACAAUAUGUCAUCCACAUAUAAUAUCAGAAAUGCUACAGAGCUCCCACUCACUUUCUUGUAAAUACAGGCUUCUCCAAAAGUCUUUAUAAAACCACAUGCUUUGAUCACACUAUCAAAGCGUAUAUUCCAACUCCGAGAGGCUUGCACCAGUCCAUAAAUGGAUCGCUGGAGCUUGCACACUUUGUUAGCACCUUUAGGAUCGACAAAACCUUCUGGUUGCAUCAUAUACAACUCUUCUUUGAGAUAUCCAUUAAGGAAUGCAGUUUUGACAUCCAUUUGCCAAAUUUCAUAAUCAGAAAAUGCGGCAAUUGCUAACAUGAUUCGGACACACUUAAGCAUCGCUACGGGUGAGAAGGUCUCAUCGUAGUCAACUCCUUGAACUUGUCGAAAACCUUUCGCAACAAGUCGAGCUUUGUAGACAGUAAUAUUACCGUCAGCAUCAGUCUUCUUCUUGAAGAUCCAUUUAUUCUCUAUGGCUUGCCGAUCAUCGGGCAAGUCAACCAAAGUCCACACUUUGUUCUCAUACAUGGAUCCCAUCUCAGAUUUCAUGGCCUGAAGCUAUUUUGCAGAAUCUGGGCUCAUCAUCGCUUCCUCAUAGUUCAUAGGUUCAUCAUGGUCAAGUAACAUGACCUCCAGAACAGGAUUACCAUACCACUUUGGUGCGGAUCUUGCUCUAGUUGACCUACGAGGUUCGGUAGUAACUUGAUCAGAAGUUUCAUGAUCAUCAUCAUUAGCUUCCUCACUAAUUGGUGUAGGAAUCACUGGAACUGAUUUCUGUGAUGAACUACUUUCCAAUAAGGGAGAAGGUACAAUUUUUUUGACAAAAAGACUGUAAGGGAGACCCCUACAGUAUAAUUGGUGCAACAAACCCAAAUUGCAAGUACCAUGCCUUGAACCUGGGUGGAAGGCAUCAGCCCCUUCCCACCACUAGACUAUGCCUUAGUCUGCGAGAAGGUACAGUUACCUCAUCAAGUUCUAUUUUCCUCCCACUCACUUCUUUUGAGAGAAACUCCUUCUCUAGAAAGGAUCCAUUCUUAGCAACGAAUAUCUUGCCUUCGGAUCUGUGAUAGAAGGUGUACCCAACAGUCUCCUUUGGAUAUCCUAUGAAGACACAUUUCUCCGAUUUGGGUUCAAGCUUAUCAGGUUGAAGCUUUUUCACAUAAGCAUCGCAACCCCAAACUUUAAGAAACGACAACUUGGGUUUCUUGCCAAACCACAGUUCAUACGGUGUCGUCUCAACGGAUUUCGAUGGUGCCCUAUUUAACGUGAAUGCGGCCGUCUCUAAAGCAUAACCCCAAAACGAUAGCGGUAAAUCAGUAAGAGACAUCAUAGAUCGCACCAUAUCUAAUAAAGUGCGGUUACGACGUUCAGACAUACCAUUACGCUGUGGUGUUCCAGGUGGCGUGAGUUGCGAAACUAUUCCACAUUGUGUCAAAUGAAGACCAAACUCAUAACUCAAAUAUUCACCUCCAUGAUCAGAUCAGAUCGUAGAAACUUAAUUUUCUUGUUACAAUGAUUUUCCACUUCACUCUAAUUUUUUUUGAACUUUUCAAAUGUUUCAGACUUAUGUUUCAUCAAGUAGAUAUACCCAUUUCUGCUCAAAUCAUCUGUGAAGGUCAGAAAAUAACGAUACCUGCCGCGAGCAUUAACACUCAUAGGACCGCAUACAUCAAUAUGUAUCAUUUCCAAUAAGUCUGUUGCUCGCUCCAUUGUUCCCGAGAACAGAGUCUUAGACAUCUUGCCCAUGAGGCAUGGUUCGCAAGCAUCAAGUGAUUCAUAAUCAAGUGAUUCCAAAAGCCCAUCAACAUGGAGUUUCUUCAUGUGUUUUACACCAAUAUGACCUAAAUGGCAGUGCCACAAAUAAGUUGCACUAUCAUUAUUAAACUUAUAUCUUUUGGCUUCAAUAAAAAUAGACCACUCAUCAAGGGUGCAUGACCAUAAAAGAUAUUACUCAUAUAAAUAGAACAACCAUUAUUCUCCGAUUUAAAUGAAUAACCAUCUCGCAUCAAACAAGAUCCAUAUAUAAUGUUCAUGCUUAAUGCUGGCACCAAAUAACAAUUGUUCAGGUCUAAUAUUAAUCCCGAAGGUAGAUAUAGAGGUAGCGUGCCGACGAUGAUCACAUCGACUUUGGAACCAUUUCCCACGCGCAUCGUCACCUCAUCCUUAGCCAAUCUUAGUUUAAUCUAUAGCUCUUGUUUCGAGUUGCAAAUAUGAGCAACAGAACCAGUAUCAAAUACCCAGGCGCUACUACGAGCAUUAGUAAGGUACACAUCAGUAACAUGUAUAUCAAAUAUACCUUUCACUUUGCCAUCCUUCUUAUCCGCCAAAUGCUUGGGGCAGUUCCGCUUCCAGUGACCAUUCCCUUUGCAGUAGAAGCACUCAAUCUCAGGCUUAGGUCCAAACUUGGGCUUCUUCACUUGAGCAGCAACUUGCUUGUCGUUCUUCUUGAAGUUCCCCUUCUUCCCUUCUUCUUGAAACUAGUGGUCUUGUUGACCAUCAAAACUUGAUGCUCCUUCUUGAUUUCUACCUCCCCAGAGCAUUGCGAAGAGCUAGGGAAUUGUCUUAUCCAUCCCUUGCAUAUUAUAGUUCAUCACGAAGCUUUUGUAGCUUGGUGGCAGUGAUUGAAGAACUCUGUUAAUGACACUAUCAUCAGGAAGAUUAACUCCCUGUUGAGUCAAGUGGUUGUGGUACCCAGACAUUCCGAGUAUAUGUUCACUGACAGAGCUAUUCUCCUCCAUCUUGCAGCUAUAGAACUUAUUGGAGACUUCAUAUCUCUCAAUUCGGGCAUUUGCUUGAAAUAUUAACUUCAACUCUUGGAACAUCUCAUAUGCUCCAUGAUGUUCAAAACGUCGUUGAAGUCCCGAUUCUAAGCCGUAAAGCAUGGCACACUGAACUAUCGAGUAGUCAUCAGCUUUGCUCUGCCAGACGUCCAUAACAUCUGGUGUUGCUCCUGCAGCGGGCUUUGCACCUAGCGGUGCUUCUAGGACGUAAUUCUUCUGUGCAGCAAUGAGGAUAAUCCUCAAGUUACGGACCCAGUCCAUGUAGUUGGUACCAUCAUCUUUCAACUUAGCUUUCUCUAGGAAUGCAUUAAAAUUCAAAGGAACAGUAGCACGGGCCAUUUAUCUACAACAACAUAGGCAUGCAAAAUACUACCAGGUACUAAGUUCAUGAUAAAUUAAAGUUCAAUUAAUCAUAUUACUUAAGAACUCCCACUUAGAUAUACACCUCUCUAGUCAUCUAAAUGAUCACGUGAUCCAUAUCAACUAAACCAUGUUCGAUCAUCACGUGAGAUGGAGUAGUUUUCAAUGGUGAACAUCACUAUGUUGAUCAUAUCUACUAUAUGAUUCAUGCUCGACCUUUCGGUCUCAGUGUUCCGAGGCCAUAUCUGCAUAUGGUAGGCUUGUUAAGUUUAACCCGAGUAUUCUGCGUGUGCAAAACUGGCUUGUACCCGUUAUAUGCGAACGUAGAGCUUAUCACACCCGAUCAUCACGUGGUGUCUCGGCAUGACGAACUGUAGCAAUGGUGCAUACUCAGGGAGAAUACAUAUACCUUGAAAUUUAGUGAGAGAUCAUCUUAUAAUGCUACCGCCGUACUAAGCAAAAUAAGAUGCAUAAAGGAUAAACAUCAUAUGCAAUCAAAAUAAGUGAUAUGAUAUGGCCAUCGUCAUCUUGUGCCUUUGAUCUCCAUCUCACGUGAUCACCAUCGUCACCGGCUUGACACCUUGAUCUCCAUCGUAGCAUCGUUGUCGUCUUGCCAACUAUUGCUUCUACGACUAUCGCUACCGCUUAGUGAUAAAGUAAAUCAAUUACAUGGAGAUUGCAUUUCAUACAAUAAAGUGACAACCAUAUGGCUCCUGGCAGUUGCCGAUAACUAUUACAAAACAUGAUCAUCUCAUACAACAAUUUAUGUCAUCACGUCUUGACCAUAUCACAUCACAACAUGCCCUGUAAAAACAAGUUAGACGUCCUCUACUUUGUUGUUGCAAGUUUUACGUGGCUGCUACGGGCUUCUAGCAAGAACCGUUCUUGCCUACGCAUCAAAACCACAACGAUUUUUCGUCAAAUGUGAUGUUUUAACCUUCAACAAGGACCGGGCGUAGUCAAACUCGAUUCAACUAAAGCUGGAGAAACAGACACCCACUAGCCAUCAGUGUGCGAAGCACGUCGAUAGAACCAGUCUCAUGAACGUGGUCAUGUAAUGUCGGUCUGGGAUGCUUCAUCCAACAAUACUGCCAAAUGAAAGUAAGACAUUGCUGGUAAGCAGUAUGACUAUUAUCGCCCACAACUCUUUGUGUUCUACUCGUGCAUAUAACAUCUACGCAUAGACCUGGCUCGGAUGCCACUGUUGGGGAACGCAGUAUUUCAAAAAAAUUGCCUACGAUCACGCAAGAUCUAUCUAGGAGAUGCAUAGCAAUGAGAGGGGAGAGUGUGUCUAUGUAACCUCGUAGACCGAAAGCGGAAGCAUUUAGUAACGCAGUUGAUGUAGUCAAACGUCUUCAUGAUCCAACCGAUCCAAGUACCGAACGCACGGCACCUCCGUGAUCAGUACACGUUCAGCUCGGUGAUGUCCCUUGAACUCUUGAUCCAGUUGAGGCUGAGGGAGAGUUUCAUCAGCACGACGGCGUGGCAAUGGUGAUGAAGAAGUUACCGGCGCAGGGCUUCGCCUAAGCACUACGACGAUAUGAGCGAGGUGUGUAACUUUGGAGAGGGCACCACACACGGCUAAAAGAUCAACUUGUGUGUCUUUGGGGUGCCCCCUCCCCACGUAUAUAAAGGGGGGAGAGGAGGCCGGCCAUAGGUGUGGCGCGCCAAGGGGGGAGUCCUACUUGGACUCCCGGUCCAAGUAGGGUUCGACCCCCCUUUUCCUAUUCCCACAAGGAGAAGGCAGAAAGAGGAGGAGGAGAGAAGGAAAGGCCCCCCAACCCUAACCCAAUUCGGAUUGGGCUUGGGGGCCAUGCGCCUCCACCUGGCCGCAGCCUCCUCUCUUCCACUAGGGCCCAUGUAGGCCCAUUAACCCCCUCGGGGGGGUUCCGGUAACNNNNNNNNNNNNNNNNNNNNNNNNNNNNNNNNNNNNNNNNNNNNNNNNNNNNNNNNNNNNNNNNNNNNNNNNNNNNNNNNNNNNNNNNNNNNNNNNNNNNNNNNNNNNNNNNNNNNNNNNNNNNNNNNNNNNNNNNNNNNNNNNNNNNNNNNNNNNNNNNNNNNNNNNNNNNNNNNNNNNNNNNNNNNNNNNNNNNNNNNNNNNNNNNNNNNNNNNNNNNNNNNNNNNNNNNNNNNNNNNNNNNNNNNNNNNNNNNNNNNNNNNNNNNNNNNNNNNNNNNNNNNNNNNNNNNNNNNNNNNNNNNNNNNNNNNNNNNNNNNNNAAACUCAUAAUACAAAUCGUUAUCGAACGUUAAGCGUGCGGACCCUACGGGUUCGAGAAAUAUGUAGACAUGAGAGAGACACAUCUCUGGUUAAUAACCAAUAGCGGAACCUAGAUGCUCAUAUUGGCUCCUACAUAUUCUACGAAGAUCUUUAUAGGUCAAACUGCAUAACAACAUAUGUUGUUCCCUUUGUCAUCGGUAUGUUACUUGCCCGAGAUUCGAUCGUCGGUAUCAUCAUACCUGGUUCAAUCUCGUUACCGGUGAUGUCUACUACACAACCUUCUUCUUGUAGACAUUGUUGGGCCUCCAAGUGCAGAGGUUUGUAGGACAGUAGCAAAUUUCCCUCAAGUGGAUGACCUAAGGUUUAUCAAUCCGUAGGAGGCGUAGGAUGAAGAUGGUCUCUCUCAAGCAACCCUGCAACCAAAUAACGAAGAGUCUCUUGUGUCCCCAACACACCCAAUACAAUGGUAAAUUGUAUAGGUGCACUAGUUCGGCGAAGAGAUGGUGAUACAAGUGGUAUAUGGAUAGUAGAUAAUAGUAUUUGUAAUCUGAAAUUAUAAAAACAGCAAGGUAACUAAUGGUAAAAGUGAGCGUAAACGGUAUUGCAAUGAUAGUAAACAAGGCCUAGGGUUCAUACUUUCACUAGUGUAAGUUCCGUCAACAAUACUAACAUAAUUGGAUCACAUAACUAUCCCUCAACAUGCAACAAAGAGUCACUCCAAAGUCACUAAUAGCGGAGAAUGAACGAAGAGAUUAUGGUAGGGUAUGAAACCACCUCAAAGUUAUUCUUUCCAAUCAAUCCAUUGGGUUGUUCCUAUAAGUGUCACAAACAGCCCUAGAGUUCGUACUAGAAUAACACCUUAAGACACAAAUCAACCAAAACCCUAAUGUCACCUAGAUACUCCAAUGUCACCUCGAGUAUCCGUGGGUAUGAUUAUACGAUAUGCAUCACACAAUCUCAGAUUCAUCUAUUCAACCAACACAAAGGACCUCAAAGAGUGCCCCAAAGUUUCUACCAGAGAAUCACGACGAAAACGUGUGCCCACCCCUAUGCAUAGGUUCAUGGGCGGAACCCCCAAGUUGAUCACCAAAACAUACAUCAAGUGAAUCACGUGAUAUCCCAUUGUCACCACAGAUACGCACGGCAAGACAUACAUCAAGUGUUCUCAAAUCUUUAAAGACUCAAUCCGAUAAGAUUAUUUCAAAGGGGAAACUCAAUUCAUUACAAGAGAGAAGAGGGGGAGGAGAAACAUAAGAUCCAACUAUAAUAGCAAAGCUCGCGAUACAUCAAGAUCAUAUCACCUCAAGAACGCGCGAGAGAGAGAGAUCAAACACAUAGCUAUUGGUACAUACCCUCAGCCCCGAGGGAGAACUACUCCCUCCUCAUCAUGGAGAGCACCGGGAUAAUGAAGAUGGCCAUCGGAGAAAGAUUCCCCCUCCGGCAGGGCGCCAGAACGGGUCUAGAUUGGCUUUUGGUGGCUACGGAGCCUUCUGGCGAUGGAACUCCCGAUCUAUUGUGCUCUCUGGAAGUUUUAGGGUACGACGAUAUAUAUGGGUGCAGGAAGUACGUUAGAGGAGCUACGGGGGCCCCACGAGGCAGGGGGCGCGCCCUAGGGGGGCACGCCCCCCACCCUCGUGAGCACCUCCCGUAUCUCCUGACGUGAAGUCCAAGUCUAUCUGGUGGCUUUCGUUCCAAAAAUAACUUCUCCAGUUGAUUUCGUUUCGUUUCGACUCCGUUUGAUAUUCCUUUUCUUCGAAACACUGAAAUAGGCAUAAAACAACAAAUCUGGGUUGGGCCUCCGGUUAAUAGGUUAGUCCCAAAAAUAAUAUAAAAGUGGAAAAUAAAGCCCAAUAUUGCCCAAAAUAGUAGAUAAUAUAGCAUGGAGCAAUCAAAAAUUAUAGAUACGUUGGAGACGUAUCAAGCAUCCCCAAGCUUAAUUCCUGCUCGUCCUCGAGUAGGUAAAUGAUAAAAAGAUAAUUUUUGAUGUGGAAUGCUAGUUGGCAUAAUUUCAAUGUAAUUCUUCUUACUUGUGAUAUGAAUAUUCAGAUUCGAAAGAUUCAAGACAAAAGUUCAUAUUGACAUAAAAAUAAUAAUACUUCAAGCAUACUAACUAAGCAAUCACGUCUUCUCAAAAUAACAUGGCCAAAGAAAGUUAUCCCUACAAAAUCAUAUAGUCUGGAUAUGCUCUAUCUUCACCACACAAAACAUUUAAAUCAUGCACAACCCCGAUGACAAGCCAAUCAAUUGUUUCAUACUUUUAAUGUUCUCAAACUUUUUCAAUCUUCACGCAAUACAUGAGCGUGAGCCAUGGACAUAGCACUAUAGGUGGAAUAGAAUGGUGGUUGUGGAGAAGACAAAAAGGGAGAAGAUAGUCUCACAUCAACUAGGCAUAUCAACGGACUAUGGAGAUGCCCAUCAAUAGAUAUCAACGUGAGUGAGUACGGAUUGCCAUGCAACGGAUGCACUAGAGCUAUAAGUGUAUGAAAGCUCAACAAAAGAAACUAGUGGGUGUGCAUCCAACUUGCUUGCUCACGAAGACCUAGGGCAUUUUGAGGAAGCCCAUCAUUGGAAUAUACAAGCCAAGUUCUAUAAUGAAAGAUUCUCACUAGUAUAUGAAAGUGACAACAUAGGAGACUCUCUAUCAUGAAGAUCAUGGUGCUACUUUGAAGCACAAGUGUGGUAAAAGGAUAGUAGCAUUGUCCCUUUUUUUUAUUUGGCCUUUCCUUUUUUUGUGGCAAUGCUCUAUUGAAUGAUGAUCAUCACACUUCUAUUUAUUUACAACUCAAUGAUACAACUCGAUACUAGAACAAAGAUGACUCUAUAUGAAUGCCUCCGGCGGUGUACCGGGAUAUGCAAUGAAUCAAGAGUGACAUGUAUGAAAGAAUUAUGAAUGGUGGCUUUGCCACAAAUACUAUGUCAACUACAUGUUCAUGCUAAGCAAUAUGACAAUGAUGAAUGUGUCAUGAUAAACGGAAUGGUGGAAAGUUGCAUGGCAAUAUAUCUCAGAAUGGCUAUGGAAAUGCCAUAAUAGGUAGGUAUGGUGGCUGUUUUGAGGAAGGUGUAUGGUGGUUUUAUGGUACCGGCGAAAGUUGCGCGGUACUAGAGAGGCUAGCAAUGGUGGAAGGGUGAGAGUGCGUAUAAUCCAUGGACUCAACAUUAGUCAUAAAGAACUCACAUACUUAUUGCAAAAAUCUAUUAGUUAUCAAAACAAAGUACUACGCGCAUGCUCCUAGGGGGAUAGAUUGGUAGGAAAAGACCAUCGCUCGUCCCCGACCGCCACUCAUAAGGAAGACAAUCAAUAAAUAAAUCAUGCUCCGACUUCAUCACAUAACGGUUCACCAUAUGUGCAUGCUACGGGAAUCACAAACUUCAACACAAGUAUUUCUCAAAUUCACAACUAAUCAACUAGCAUGACUCUAAUAUUACCAUCCUCAUAUCUCAAAAUGAUCAUCAAGUAUCAAACUUCUCUUAGUAUUCAACACACUCAUAAGAGAAUUUUAUUAUUCUUGAAUACCUAUCAUAUUAGGAUUUUAAGAAAAUUACCAUGCUAUUUAAGACUAUCAAAAUAAUCUAAGUGAAGCAUGAGAGUUCAUCUAUUUCUUCAAAAUAAAACUACCACCAUGCUCUAAAAUAUAUAAGUGAAGCACUAGAGCAAAUGACAAACUACUCCGAAAGAUAUAAGUGAAGAUCAAUGAGUAGUCGAAUAAUUAUGCAACUAUGUGAAGACUCUCUAACAUUUAAUAAUUUCAGAUCUUGGUAUUCUAUUCAAACAGCAAGCAAAGCAAAAGAAAAUUACAUCUAAUAAUAGCAAACAUCAUGUGAAGAUGCAAAAACUUAGGAUCAACCGAAACUAACCGAUAAUUGCUGAAGAAGAAAGGUGGGGUGCCAACCGGGGCAUCCCCAAGCUUAGAUGCUUGAGACUUCUUGAAAUAUUAUCUUGGGGUGCCUUGGGCAUCCCCAAGCUUGAGCUUUUGUGUCUCCUUAAUUCCUCUCAUAUCACGGUCUCCCUAAAUCUCAAAAGCUUCAUCCACACAAAACUCAACAAGGACUCGUGAGAUAAGUUAGUAUAAACCAUUGCCAAAACCUUAUCAUACUCUACUGUAGCAAAUCACUAAAAUCAUUAUUAAACAUUGCAUACUAAAUGCCUCUGCAUAUUUAAUAGUCCUAUCCUCAAAUAGAAUCAUUAAAGAAGCAAACAUAUGCUAACAAUGCAAACAUAACAGCAAUCUGCCUAAACAGGAGAGUCUGUAAAGAAUGCAGCAAUAUCCAUACUUCCCUAGCUCCAAAAAUUAUGAAAGAAAAUUCCCACUGUAGUAAAUUUAUCAGAGCUUAAUAUGCAAAAGGUUUCAAAAUUUUAUCACAUUCUGACUUUUCUAGGGAAUUAUUGCAACAGCGGUAAACUUUCUAUUUUCUAACAGCAACAUGUGGACUUCUAAAAUAGGCAUAGUAAAGGCUAUCAAUGCCACUUUUAUUGAAAUAAAAGAUGCAAAACAUUGUUCUAAAUAACAUCAAGAAAAUACUAACAAAAUAAAUUGACGCUCCAAGCAAAACACAUAUCAUGUGGUAAAUAAAAAUAUAGCUCCAAGUAAAGUUACCGAUGAACGAAGACGAAAGAGGGGAUGCCUUCCGGGGCAUCCCCAAGCUUAGGCUCUUGGCUAUCCUUGAAUAUUGCCUUGGGGUGCCUUGGGCAUCCCUAAGAUUAGGCUCUUGCCACUCCUUAUUCCAUAGUCCAUCGAAUCUUUACCCAAAACUUGAAAACUUCACAACACAAAACUUAACAGAAAACUCGUAAGCUCCGUUAGUAUAAGAAAAUAAAUCACCACUUCAAGGUACUGUAAUGAACUCAUUAUUUAUUUAUAUUGGUGUUAAACCUACUGUAUUCCAACUUAUCUAUGGUUUAUAAACUAUUUUACUAGCCAUAGAUUCAUCAAAAUAAGUAAACAACACAUGAAAAACAGAAUCUGUCAAAAACAGAACAGUAUGUAGUAAUAUGGAUCAAACAUAUACUUCUGGAACUCAUACAAUUCUCAAAUAAAUUGCUGGACCUGAGGAAUUUAUCUAUUAAUCAUCUGAAAAAAGAAUUAGCUAAAUAGCGCUCUCCAAAUAAAAAUGAAAGCAAUUCUCGUGAGCGCUAAAGUUUCUAUUUUUGACAGCAUGAUAAAAAAGACUUGACAGCAUGAUCAAAAAGACUUUCCCAAAGUCUUCCCAAAGGUUCUACUUGGCACAAACACUAAUUAAACACAUAAAAUCACAUCUAAACAGAGGCUAGAUGAAUUAUUUAUUACUAAACAGGAACAAAAAUCAAGGAACAAAAAUAAAAUUGGGUUGCCUCCCAACAAGCGCUAUCGUUUAACGCCCCUAGCUAGGCAUGAUGAUUUCAACGAUGCUCACAUAAAAGAUAAGAAUUGAAACAUAAAGAGAGCAUCAUGAAGAAUAUAACUAGCACAUUUAAGUCUAACAUACUUCCUAUGCAUAGGGAUUUUGUGAGCAAAUAACUUGCGGGAAUAAUAAUCAACUUGCAUAGGAAGGUAAAACAAGCAUAACUUCAAAAUUUUAAGCACAUAGAGAGGAAACUUGAUAUUAUUGCAAUUCCUACAAGCAUAUAUUCCUCCCUCAUAAUAAUUUUCAGUAGCAUCAUGAAUGAAUUCAACAAUAUAACCAGCACUUAAAGCAUUCUUUUCAUGAUCCACAAGCAUAGAAAAUUUACUACUCUCCACAUAAGCAAGAUUCUUCUCAUGAAUAAUUGUGGGAGGAAACUCAACAAAAUAACUAUCAUGUGAUUGAAAAUUAAGAUCAAGAUGACAAGUUUCAUGGUUAUCAUUAUUCUUUAAAGCAUAUGUGUCAUCGCAAUGAUCAUCAUAGAUAGGAGGCAUGCUUUCAUCAUAAUAAAUUUGCUCAACAAAACUUGGGGGACAAAAAAUAUCAUCUUCAUCAAACAUAGCUUCCCCAAGCUUGUGGCUUUGCAUAUCAUUAGCAUCAUGGAUAUUCAAGGAAUUCAUACUAACAACAUUGCAAUCAUGCUCAUCAUUCAAAUAUUUAGUGCCAAACAUUUUAAUGCAUUCUUCUUCUAACACUUUGGCACAAUUUUCCUUUCCAUCAUACUCACGAAAGAUAUUAAAAAUAUGAAGUGUAUGAGGCAAACUUAAUUCCAUUUUUUUAUAGUUUUCUUUUAUAAACUAAACUAGUGAUAAAACAAGAAACUAAAAGACUCGAUUGCAAGAUCUAAAGAUAUACCUUCAAGCGCUAACCUCCCCGGCAACGGCGCUAGAAAAGAGCUUGAUGUCUACUACACAACCUUCUUCUUGUAGACGUUGUUGGGCCUCCAAGUGCAUAGGUUUGUAGGACAGUAGAAAAUUUCCCUCAAGUGGAUGACCUAAGGUUUAUCAAUCCGUAGGAGGCGUAGGAUGAAGAUGGUCUCUCUCAAGCAACCCUGCAACCAAAUAACAAAGAGUCUCUUGUGUCCCUAACACACCCAACACAAUGGUAAAUUGUAUAGGUGCACUAGUUCGGUGAUAACCCACAAGUAUAGGGGAUCGCAACAGCUUUCGAGGGUAGAGUAUUCAACCCAAAUUUAUUGAUUCGACACAAGGGGAGCCAAAGAAUAUUCUCAAGUAUUAGCAGCUGAGUUGUCAAUUCAACCACACCUGGAAACUUAGUAUCUGCAGCAAAGUGUUUAGUAGCAAAGUAAUAUGAUAGUGGCGGUAGCGGCAACAAAAGUAAAGACAGCAAAAGUAAUGUUUUUGGUAUUUUGUAGUGAUUGUAACAGUAGCAGCGGGAAAGUAAAUAAGCGUAAACCAGUAUAUGGAAAACUCGUAGGCACCGGAUCAGUGAUGGAUAAUUAUGCCGGAUGCGGUUCAUCAUGUAACAGUCAUAAAAUAUGGUGACACAGAACUAGCUCCAAUGCAUCAAUGUAAUGUAGGCAUGUAUUCCGUAUAUAGUCAUACGUGCUUAUGGAAAAGAACUUGCAUGACAUCUUUUGUCCUACCCUCCCGUGGCAACGGGGUCCUAUUGGAAACUAAGGGAUAUUAAGGCCUCCUUUUAAUAGAGAACCGGAACAAAGCAUUAGCACAUAGUGAAUACAUGAACUCCUCAAACUAUGGUCAUCACCGGGAGUGGUCCCGAUUAUUGUCACUUCGCGGUUGCCGGAUCAUAACACAUAGUAGGUGACUAUAGACUUGCAAGAUAGGAUUAAGAACUCACAUAUAUUCAUGAAAACAUAAUAGGUUCAGAUCUGAAAUCAUGGCACUCGGGCCCUAGUGACAAGCAUUAAGCAUAGCAAAGUCAUAGCAACAUCAAUCUCAGAACAUAAUGGAUACUAGGGAUCAAACCAUAACAAAACUAACUCGAUUACAUGAUAAAUCUCAUCCAACCCAUCACCGUCUAGCAAGCCUACGAUGGAAUUACUCACGCACGGCGGUGAGCAUCAUGAAAUUGGUGAUGGAGGAUGGUUGAUGAUGACGACGACGAUGAAUCCCCCUCUCCGGAGCCCCGAACGGACUCCAGAUCAGCCCUCCCGAGAGGUUUUAGGGCUUGGCGGCGGCUCCAUAUCGUAAAACGCGAUGAUUUCUUCUCUCUGAUUUUUUUUCUCAUCGAAACUAAAAUAUAUGGAGGUGGAGUUGGAGUCGGAGACGCAACAGGGGGCCCACGAGGUAGGGGGCGCGCCCUAGGGGGCGCCCCCCACCCUCGUGAGAAGGGUGUGGGCCCCCUGGUCUUCAUCUUUGGCGAGGAUUUUUUAUUGUUUUUUUCUAAGAUGUUCCGUGGAGUUUAAGGUCAUUCCGAGAAUAUUUGUUUUCUGCACAUAAAAAAACACCAUGGUAAUUCUGCUGAAAACAGCGUCAGUCCGGGUUAGUUCCAUUCAAAUCAUACAAGUUAGAGUCCAAAACAAGGGAAAAAGUGUUUGGAAAAGUAGAUACGACGGAGAUGUAUCAACUCCCCCAAGCUUAAACCCUUGCUUGUCCUCAAGCAAUUCAGUUGACAAACUGAAAGAAAGAAAGAAAAACUUUUACAAACUCUGUUUGCUCUUGUUGUUGUAACUAUGUCAAGCCAACAUUCAAGUUUUUAGCAUAAAUCAUAACUAACCACAUUUGCAAUAAUUCUCAGGUCUCACAAUUACUCAUAUCAAUAGCAUAAUCAACUAGCAAGUCAUAAUAAUAACUCUCGGAUGACAACACUUUCUCAAAACAAUCAUAAUAUGAUAUAACAAGAUGGUAUCUCGCUAGCCCUUUCUAAGACCACAAAACAUAAAUGCAGAGCACCUUUUAAGAUCAAGGACUGACUAGACAUUGUAAUUCAUGGUAAAAGAGAUCCAAUCAUAGUCAUACCCAAUAUAAAUUAAUAGUGAUUAAUGCAAAUGACAGCUGUGCUCUCCAGCUAGUGCUUUUUAAUAAGAGGGUGAUGACUCAACAUAAAAGUAAAUGGAUAGGCCCUUCGCAGAGGGAAGCCGGGAUUUGUAGAGGUGCCAGAGCUCGGUUUUGCAAUAGAGAUAAAUUAAAUUUUGAGCGGUAUACUUUCAUUGUCAAUGUAACAACUAAGAGAUGGCGAUAUCUCCCAUGCUAAACACAUUAUAGGCGGUUCCCAAACAGAAUGGUAAAGUUUAUACUCCCCCUCCACCAACAAGCAUCAAUCCAUGGCUUGCUCGAAACAAUGAGUGCCUCCAACAUACAUCAGGUCCCAGGGGGAGUUUUGUUUGCAAUUAAUUUUGAUUUAGUUUGCAUAAAGCAUGGGACUGGGCAUCCCGGUGACCAACCAUUUUCUCGUGAGUGAGGAGCGGAGUCCACUCCUCUUGAGAAUAACCCUCCUAACACGGAAGAUAAGGACAGCCUUUGUUGAUACAUGAGCUAUUCGAGCAUACAAAACAAAAUGUUUAUUUGAAGGUUUAGAGUUUGGCACAUACAAAUUUACUUGGAACGGCAGGUAGAUACCGCAUAUAGGAAGGUAUAGUGGACUCAUCUGGAAUAACUUUGGGGUUUAAGGGAUUGGAUGCACAAGCAGUAUUCCCGCUUAAUACAAGUGAAGGCUAGCAAAAGACUGGGAAGCGACCAACUAGAGAGCAACAACAGCCAUGUACAUGCAUUAAAAUUAAUAAACAUUGGAUGCAAGCAUGAGUAGGAUAUAAUCCACCAUGAACAUAAAUAUCAUGAAGGCUAUGUUGAUUUUGUUUCAACUACAUGCAUGAACAUGUGCCAAGUCAAGUCACUUAAAUCAUUCAAAGGAGGAUACCACCCCAUCAUACCACAUCAUAUUUAUCUCAAUAGCAUCUUAGCAUACAAGGUAAAUCAUUAUAACUCAUAGCUAAUCAAGCAUGGCACAAGCAACUCUGAUCUCUAAUUGUCAUUGCAAACAUGUUUAUUCAUAAUAAGCUGAAUCAAGAACGAGGGACUCAUCAUAUUUACAAAAACAAAAGAGGUCGAGUUCAUACCAGAUUUUCUCAUCUCAGUCAGUCCAUCAUAUAUCAUCAUAAUUGCCUUUCACUUGCACGACCGAACCGUGUGAAUAAUAAUAAGAGUGCACAUGCAUUGGACUAAGCUGGAAUCUGCGAGCAUUCAAUAAACAGGAGAAGACGAGGCAAUAUGGGCUCUUGGUUAAAUCAACAAUAAUGCAUAUAAGAGCCACUUUAACAAUUUAAUUAUGGUCUUCUCCUACUAACCCCCAAAUAAAAGAAAAGAAAUAAAACUAUUUACACGGGAAAGCUCCCAACAAGCAAAAGAAGAAUGGGAAAUAUUUUUGGGUUUUCUUUUUAGUUAUUACUACUACAACAGAAAAAUAAACUACUACUUUUUUUUUGGU
rnacentral:lncRNA from 1 species